rnacentral:rRNA from 1 species
UACGUAGGGUGCGAGCGUUAAUCGGAAUUACUGGGCGUAAAGCGUGCGCAGGCGGCUCAUUAAGACAGGCGUGAAAUCCCCGGGCUUAACCUGGGAACUGCGCUUGUGACUGGUGGGCUGGAGUGUGUCAGAGGGAGGUGGAAUUCCACGUGUAGCAGUGAAAUGCGUAGAGAUGUGGAGGAACACCGAUGGCGAAGGCAGCCUCCUGGUAUAACACUGACGCUCAUGCACGAAAGCGUGGGGAGCAAACAGG